rnacentral:rRNA from 1 species
UACGAAGGGGGCUAGCGUUGUUCGGAAUUACUGGGCGUAAAGCGCACGUAGGCGGAUACUUAAGUUAGGGGUGAAAUCCCGGGGCUCAACCCCGGAACUGCCUUUAAUACUGGGUAUCUCGAGUUCGAGAGAGGUGAGUGGAAUUCCGAGUGUAGAGGUGAAAUUCGUAGAUAUUCGGAGGAACACCAGUGGCGAAAGGCGGCUCACUGGCUCGAUACUGACGCUGAGGUGCGAAAGCGUGGGGAGCAAACAGG